rnacentral:rRNA from 1 species
UACGAAGGGGGCUAGCGUUGUUCGGAAUCACUGGGCGUAAAGGGCGCGUAGGCGGCCGAUCAAGUCGGGGGUGAAAGCCUGUGGCUCAACCACAGAAUUGCCUUCGAUACUGUUUGGCUUGAGACCGGAAGAGGUAAGUGGAACUGCGAGUGUAGAGGUGAAAUUCGUAGAUAUUCGCAAGAACACCAGUGGCGAAUGCGGCUUACUGGUCCGGUUCUGACGCUGAGGCGCGAAAGCGUGGGGAGCAAACAGG